rnacentral:rRNA from 1 species
AUGAACGCUGGCGGCGUGCCUAAUACCUGCAAGUCGAGCGCACGGACGAGAAGCUUGCUUCUCUGAUGUUAGCGGCGGACAGGUGAGUAACACGUGGAUAACCUACCUAUAAGACUGGGAUAACUUCGGGAAACCGGAGCUAAUACCGGAUAAUAUUUUGAACCGCAUGGUUCAAAAGUGAAAGACGGUCUUGCUGUCACUUAUAGAUGGAUCCGCGCUGCAUUAGCUAGUUGGUAAGGUAACGGCUUACCAAGGCAACGAUGCAUAGCCGACCUGAGAGGGUGAUCGGCCACACUGGAACUGAGACACGGUCCAGACUCCUACGGGAGGCAGCAGUAGGGAAUCUUCCGCAAUGGGCGAAAGCCUGACGGAGCAACGCCGCGUGAGUGAUGAAGGUCUUCGGAUCGUAAAACUCUGUUAUUAGGGAAGAACAUAUGUGUAAGUAACUGUGCACAUCUUGACGGUACCUAAUCAGAAAGCCACGGCUAACUACGUG